CAACAUGGAACGAGUGGCGGACGGGUGAGUAACACGUGGGUAACCUGCCCUUAAGUGGGGGAUAACAUUUGGAAACAGAUGCUAAUACCGCAUAGAUCCAAGAACCGCAUGGUUCUUGGCUGAAAGAUGGCGUAAGCUAUCGCUUUUGGAUGGACCCGCGGCGUAUUAGCUAGUUGGUGAGGUAAUGGCUCACCAAGGCGAUGAUACGUAGCCGAACUGAGAGGUUGAUCGGCCACAUUGGGACUGAGACACGGCCCAAACUCCUACGGGAGGCAGCAGUAGGGAAUCUUCCACAAUGGACGCAAGUCUGAUGGAGCAACGCCGCGUGAGUGAAGAAGGCUUUCGGGUCGUAAAACUCUGUUGUUGGAGAAGAAUGGUCGGCAGAGUAACUGUUGCCGGCGUGACGGUAUCCAACCAGAAAGCCACGGCUAACUACGUGCCAGCAGCCGCGGUAAUACGUAGGUGGCAAGCGUUAUCCGGAUUUAUUGGGCGUAAAGCGAGCGCAGGCG
rnacentral:rRNA from 1 species